rnacentral:lncRNA from 1 species
GUAGACAAUAUAUUUGUGAUUUGGGAUGAUGAAGACAAAGUAGACCUAUUGGCCUGUAAAUUCACACUCCCAGCUUAUGGGUUAAAGUUAAAACUACAUCAAGUAAGUAGGAAGAAUGUGCAUUUCCUCAAUAUAGAUCUGGAGGUGAAAGAUAACUUACUAUACACAAAGGUAUAUAGAAAACCUACAAGCACAACAUUAAUCAUUCCACAAUGGUCUAAUGAUAGAUGGGCACACAAAAAAGCACCAUUAAGAUCGCUCUUACAAUAAUGCAUUGUAAUACAAAUGAAGUGCUAGAGAAAGAAGAUAUCAUAAAAAUAGCUACUGACUAUGGUUACAAACCCACCUUGAUUAAGAGACUGGGGGAAGAGAUGGAUAAUGGGAGAGAGGAGAAGAAUGGUGGUGGGCAGGAGGAGGUGUCGGGAGUGC